GACGAACGCUGGCGGCGUGCUUAACACAUGCAAGUCGAACGAUGAAGCCGGAGCUUGCUCUGGUGAAUGAGUGGCGAACGGGUGAGUAACACGUGAGUAACCUGCCCUUGACUCUGGGAUAACUGCGGGAAACUGUAGCUAAUACCGGAUACGACCCUCGGAGGCAUCUCCGGGGGGUGGGAAGAAUUUCGGUCAAGGAUGGACUCGCGGCCUAUCAGCUAGUUGGUGAGGUAAAGGCUCACCAAGGCGACGACGGGUAGCCGGCCUGAGAGGGUGACCGGCCACACUGGGACUGAGACACGCCCCAGACUCCUACGGGAGGCAGCAGUGGGGAAUAUUGCACAAUGGGCGCAAGCCUGAUGCAGCAACGCCGCGUGAGGGAUGACGGCCUUCGGGUUGUAAACCUCUUUUAGCAGGGAAGAAGCGAAAGUGACGGUACCUGCAGAAAAAGCACCGGCUAACUACGUGCCAGCAGCCGCCGUAA
rnacentral:rRNA from 1 species